CGCAGCUUGCACAGAAGGUAUGGGAAUGGCAUUACUGCUUUAUUCUUUGCCUUGGUCUACACAGGAAUAAAGCAAAGGACAUCUGGAUUUCUGUUUUGUCAAUAACACCUUUGAUGCUUAAGAGUAGUUCGGUGCUUCUAGCAGAAGAAAACUAGGAAAAGUGUCAUUAGCAUUUGUGGUCCUUACUGACAGUCACUGCAACAUAGGAUUAUGCACAAAUAGAGAAGAAGAAGAAACUGGUGCCUAAGGUCACACUGAUAAUAGAUGAAGUGAUGGAGCAAGGAUUCAACCGCCAGCAGUUCGGUUCCUCAGCCUCCCCCGAUCUCAUAUGCUACUCAUGACCAUCUGUUACACCUUAGAGGGAAUCUAAAUCAUCUAAUCACUAAAUGAUGCGCCCACUGCUUCAUCUCUACUUAUACAGUGAAAGAUCAUCGCUUUCAUCAAAGGUAUUUUGAGCAUCAAAUUGGAAAUCCUGGGAAACUCCUGGGCGUGGAGGACCUCAGAUGUCACCCUGCAGCUUUCUCUGUCUCUGAGAACAGAUCUAGAGCCUUAGUGCCAUCGCCACUACAGAUGGGCUAAAUUCAAGGACUGAUGACUACUCAAGGCUGCUAUGGAGUUAAAAUAAAUAGCAUAAGAA
rnacentral:lncRNA from 10 species